GUAUACGGAGGGUGCAAGCGUUACUCGGAAUCACUGGGCGUAAAGGGCGCGUAGGCGGAUUAUCAAGUCUCUUGUGAAAUCUAAUGGCUUAACCAUUAAACUGCUUGGGAAACUGAUAGUCUAGAGUGAGGGAGAGGCAGAUGGAAUUGGUGGUGUAGGGGUAAAAUCCGUAGAUAUCACCAAGAAUACCCAUUGCGAAGGCGAUCUGCUGGAACUCAACUGACGCUAAGGCGCGAAAGCGUGGGGAGCAAACAGGAUUAGAUACCCUGGUAGUCCACGCCCUAAACGAUGUACACUAGUUGUUGGGAUGCUAGUCAUCUCAGUAAUGCAGCUAACGCAUUAAGUGUACCGCCUGGGGAGUACGGUCGCAAGAUUAAAACUCAAAGGAAUAGACGGGGACCCGCACAAGCGGUGGAGCAUGUGGUUUAAUUCGAAGAUACGCGAAGAACCUUACCUGGGCUUGAUAUCCUAAGAACCUUAUAGAGAUAUGAGGGUGCUAGCUUGCUAGAACUUAGAGACAGGUGCUGCACGGCUGUCGUCAGCUCGUGUCGUGAGAUGUUGGGUUAAGUCCCGCAACGAGCGCAACCCACGUAUUUAGUUGCUAACGGUUCGGCCGAGCACUCUAAAUAGACUGCCUUCGUAAGGAGGAGGAAGGUGUGGACGACGUCAAGUCAUCAUGGCCCUUAUGCCCAGGGCGACACACGUGCUACAAUGGCAUAUACAAUGAGACGCAAUACCGCGAGGUGGAGCAAAUCUAUAAAAUAUGUCCCAGUUCGGAUUGUUCUCUGCAACUCGAGAGCAUGAAGCCGGAAUCGCUAGUAAUCGUA
rnacentral:rRNA from 1 species